rnacentral:rRNA from 1 species
UGUACCUACGGGGGGCAGCAGUGGGGAAUAUUGGGCAAUGGGCGCAAGCCUGACCCAGCAACGCCGCGUGAAGGAAGAAGGCUUUCGGGUUGUAAACUUCUUUUGACAGGGAAGAGCAGAAGACGGUACCUGUCGAAUAAGCCACGGCUAACUACGUGCCAGCAGCCGCGGUAAUACGUAGGUGGCAAGCGUUGUCCGGAUUUACUGGGUGUAAAGGGUGCGUAGGAGGAAUGCCAAGUCAGCGGUAAAAUCGCGGGGCUCAACCUCGCUCCGCCGUUGACACUGGCGUUCUUGAGUGGGCGAGA